UUGGCCGGUGGCGCUGGGGACUGCGCGGGAGGAUGCGCGCGCAGGGGCUUGGCUGCCGGAAACAGGGAGCAGCGGCUGAUGCUCCAUGAUUUAAACGGGGAAGAGGCAAGGAAUCGGCUGGAGCUCACUGCGACGAGGGAAUCGACGUCUAGACCGAGCACCAUGGUGGACGACAUCCAUGGCGAGCAGAGCACGGCUUCCAGGGAACUCAGCCGCCAGCAGAGAGAGCCGGAGAGGGACGACCUGGGCGCUCACCAAGGGAGCUCUGCAGGGCGCGGCACAAAUCCAAGGCACGCGAGAGGGAGAGAGCUGCACAGCCGAAGGCUCCAUGGCAGGGGCUGGCCGACGCAAGGGGCUGGGCGCCAUGAAAAAUCCGGCCGAGCAGAGCUCGGAGCUUCGCAGCAAAGGAGAUGGAGCAGGAGCCAAAGACGCAGUGUGAGAGAGAGAGAGCGCAGGGAGAACGAUGCCGUGCAUCGCGACGCCCAGCUGGGUGUGCACCAAGUAUGGAGCGACCCAGCACGACAUCCCGAGCGAAGCGAGCAGAGGUCAACGCAGGUCAACGCAGCUGGGAAGACCAAGCGUAGGUCACGGUUGGUACAGGAGUUGGACACCAUGGCGAGUUGGAGACCGACAGAAAGCUCAGCGCGCGGCAAGGAACUCGACGUGCGCAGAGAAACAGAGACUGAGCUAAGCUCGACAUCGGACAAAACACUGCGCAGUAUGGCGUUCAGCUGCGCAAGCACAAGGAGCGCGACGCAGCGGCCAUGGAAGGUGCUGUUUCGUACAAGACCUCGGCUUGGGUUGAGCAGUGAGCCGGCCAUGGGAAAAACCUCGGCGAGGUCACGGCCAGCGAGCUGA
rnacentral:misc_RNA from 1 species